AUAUAAUUUAACAAAAAAUAUAGGAUUGUAAAAGGAAUGACCGCAUCUUUAUCUGUGACUGCUGUUUCCAUGAAUUAAUACAGAUGCUUAAAAAAAUUAACAGCUCAUAAAUAAAUAGGUGACGAGGUGUGGAAGGCAGUUUCCUAUAAAAUCCAAUUCUAGAUCUAAAAAUAUUGCUAUCACCAAAAAAUUACCAGUUCACCAAAUUGAUGAGUUGAACAAACAAAAGUGCCUGCUCUGUUUUUCUCCAGAAGUGCAGAAAUACGUUUAAAUUGCUCUGUUUUGUGACAAACAAGCUGGUUUCGCUUUCUUUCUGGAAUGGGCGGGGGACAGGGGGAGUGAGUCAAACACUUCCCUGUCUUAUGCUUAUGAUACAUACAAUAGGGAAUAUCAAAAUACAGCAGCCUAAGGGUGCACCACAUCUUGCGGGGUAAGGAGAAGGCAGCAGACGGUUAGUCUGUGUGUUGAGGAAGGAUAGAAUCAAGGAAUCCUAACGGUCUCUAUGCUGUAAAGGCACUUUCCUUCCUGCUCCCCCUCUGUACGCUAACUGGGCUGAUAACUCAGGAAUGCUGUCUACAACCCUUCCUCACAGUGCUUGAAACAACGCAGGAGUCCUCGUUGCAAGUGCUUGACCCCUCUCCCUCCCAUAGAGCAAGGCAAGGAGUCCUGGCUGCCUGAGUCUCUCUUUGCAUCAACAUCGCCCUCCAACCCUCUGCAGCUUCUCUGCACUUACUUUCAAAAGAGGUAUCUCUGGCUUGCUUAGCUGUUGCAGAAUGAAGAGAGGAUUUGCCUCGUGCUGCAUCGCUCUGUGUGCAACUGUGAUAAUCUGGGGGGCAGAAUGUUUUAUCCACCUUCCUGUAUAUUCAGUUGACAUUCCCAUAGCCCCAGCACUUGCAACAGCCGUACCAUCAAAGACAGGGCCUCUAUUUAUUGCUGACAGGCUGGUCAACCUGAAGGUGAGGGUGGCGGAAAAGGAAGACUUAGGAGGACAAGUUUACAGAACUCAUGCCUGAGUCAUGGAGGAAAGCCAGGCUGGCUGACAGGUGGAAGCUGUACCUGAUGACCAAGAGAGAGAAAGAAAUGUAACUGUCCCAGGAGAUCAUGGCAAUGGCCAAGGACUGUGUCAUAGUAGCCAGGAAAACUGACUGUGGCUAAGGACAGCAUCGCCAUGACACAGGAGAGCAUGGAAAAAGACUGAGAGAUGUAGAGGCAACUCAUGGACAUUGUGCUGAGCCAGAAUGCCCUCCUGCAAAAGAAAUCCUUGCUAGGCCAAUAGGCCCUGCAAUCCCAUAAUUUGGGAUCCAGCCAUGUCCUUCAUCCCCUGGACAGUGCUGGCUACUGGGACCAGCAGGAACUCCUAACCAUCACAUCCCCGCAGCAGUACUCCCAGCAGCUCCCGUUCAUCUCCCAGAUCCAAGCUUGGCACAAAGAAUACUUGCCUCUGGGAAUCCAGCUGUUUUGUGGCCUGCAAUGCCCCUGAGAUUUUUGAUCUGCGGCACUCAGCCCCAAAACCUUGAGGACAAGGUUUAUAUUCACCUGUAACUUUAACCCCCUCCCAAAAUUGUUGUAUUUGAAAUAUUUUUACUGUUGCACUUUCAAUUCUGUUUGCACUGUUCCAUUCAUUAAAGAUUUGUGCAUAGUUUA